UGACUGAAUAGGCAGGGGAGAUACCAUGGUCUUGAAGAUUGGUUUUCUCACGGGUUUGAUGCUUAUUCCAUUGCAACUCGAGUGUGCUGAGCAAGCCUAUGGAUUUCCCCCAAUGCUGGAAACCAACUGCUAAUUUGUGGUGGUAUGCCUUAGGGUUUCCCUAAGUCAGA